AUACGGAGGGUGCGAGCGUUAAUCGGAAUUACUGGGCGUAAAGCGUGCGUAGGCGGUUAUUUAAGUCAGAUGUGAAAGCCCAGGGCUCAACCUUGGAACUGCGUCCAAAACUUCAAAGCUUGAGGAUGGUAGGGGACAGUGGAACUCACGGUGGAGCGGUGAAAUGCGUAGAGAUCGUGAGGAACGCCGGUGGCGAAAGCGACUGUCUGGGCCAUUCCUGACGCUGAGGCGCGAAAGCCAGGGGAGCAAACGGGAUUAGAAACCCCGGUAGUCC
rnacentral:rRNA from 1 species